CACGUAGGCACCAAGCGUUGUCCAGAUUUAUUGGGCGUAAAGAGCUCGUAGGCGGUUCGGUAAGUCGGGUGUGAAAACUUUGGGCUUAACCCAAAGCGUGCACUCGAUACUGCCAUGACUAGAGUUCGGUAGGGGAGUGGGGAAUUCCUAGUGUAGCGGUGAAAUGCGCAGAUAUUAGGAGGAACACCGGUGGCGAAGGCGCCACUCUGGGCCGAAACUGACGCUGAGGAGCGAAAGCGUGGGUAGCAAACAGG
rnacentral:rRNA from 1 species